UCACACAGGUUUUUCUCUUUGAAUCAUUUUGUCUGUUUAAUUAUCUUAUAUUUCGGAAAACAAAAUGUGUUUCUUGUAUCUGGACAUCUGGACUAAUUAUGACAAUGGAUUAUUUGUUUAACGACACGGAUAUAGAUAAAAUUUUAUCUGUUUCAGUCCAGGAUCAACUGUACAAGGUUCAAAAAAAGAUUUCAAGGUUCCUAUUCAAUGCGAGGAAAAUCCAGAAGGCCAAAAUGGGUUUGUAGUAUUUGAGGGCAGAUCAUACCCAAUAGCUCUGCCAGAUACCUACGCCGAGGGCCAUGGCCAUCAACACUCAGUGUGUCAUGAACCACAGCAAAGCCAGAUAGCACUGAAGGUUCCAGUUCAAUGUGAGGAAAAUCCAGAAGGCCAAAAUGGAUGCAUCAUAUUUGAAAACAUUUCAUAUAGACUUCCUGUGUUGGAUGCCAAUGUUUUGGACCAUGGCUACCAAAACUCAGCU